rnacentral:rRNA from 1 species
GAUGAACGCUGGCGGCGUGCUUAACACAUGCAAGUCGAACGAAGCAUUUAGGACAGAUUACUUCGGUUUGAAGUUCUUUAUGACUGAGUGGCGGACGGGUGAGUAACGCGUGGGUAACCUGCCUUGUACUGGGGGAUAGCAGCUGGAAACGGCUGGUAAUACCGCAUAAGCGCACAAUGUUGCAUGACAUGGUGUGAAAAACUCCGGUGGUAUAAGAUGGACCCGCGCCUGAUUAGCUAGUUGGUGAGAUAACAGCCCACCAAGGCGACGAUCAGUAGCCGACCUGAGAGGGUGACCGGCCACAUUGGGACUGAGACACGGCCCAGACUCCUACGGGAGGCAGCAGUGGGGAAUAUUGCACAAUGGAGGAAACUCUGAUGCAGCGACGCCGCGUGAGUGAAGAAGUAAUUCGUUAUGUAAAGCUCUAUCAGCAGGGAAGAUAGUGACGGUACCUGACUAAGAAGCUCCGGCUAAAUACGUG